GCAAAGAAAUGGGGAGUCUCAGGAGGUGUCAAAUGGGACACGCAGGAGAUGGCUGCCUGGUUUUCCUGUCUAGUUCUGAUUUCAUUUGGAACCUGGUCCUGCAGCACCCUCAGCAAAUAUCAGGCUGUCCCCACGUGAGAGAAGAAGCUUCUUGACUAUCUCGGCUUUCCAGGGACCAGCCAAGUGACCCAGCACACGAGACACUCUUGCAGACACAUCCAGAAUAAUGUUUUACCAGCCACCUGGGCCUCCCUGUCCAGUCAAGCUGACACAUGAAAUUGACCAUCACAAGGACCGACCUCAUUACGUUGUUGAAAAGGUAAUAUAAAGUGGAUUUGUUGUAGGAUGUUGACUAUAGUUC